UACGAAGGGGGCUAGCGUUGUUCGGAAUUACUGGGCGUAAAGCGCGCGCAGGCGGCCUUUCAAGUCAGGGGUGAAAGCCCGGAGCUCAACUCCGGAAUUGCCUUUGAAACUGUCAGGCUCGAGUACGGGAGAGGUGAGUGGAAUUCCCAGUGUAGAGGUGAAAUUCGUAGAUAUCAGGAGGAACACCGGUGGUGUAAACGGCUUUCUGGACCAUAACUGACGCUGAGGCACGAAAGCGUGGGUAGCAAACAGG
rnacentral:rRNA from 1 species